UCUUGGAGAGUUUGAUCCUGGCUCAGGACGAACGCUGGCGGCGUGCUUAACACAUGCAAGUCGAACGAAGAGCGAUGGAAGCUUGCUUCUAUCAAUCUUAGUGGCGAACGGGUGAGUAACGCGUAAUCAACCUGCCCUUCAGAGGGGGACAACAGUUGGAAACGACUGCUAAUACCGCAUACGAUCCAAUCUCGGCAUCGAGGCCGGAUGAAAGGUGGCCUCUAUUUAUA
rnacentral:rRNA from 1 species